CGCCCUGCGUAUCCGGUUCUAUUUUUGGCUGGCGUCCAGCACGUUCGGUGCAUUAAAUUGCACAUUAUAAAAAAUUUAUAAUGGGGAUGAAAGCAACAGAACUUAAAAAAAAAUUAAAGAAAGUGGUGAUGUGCGUGAAUCCUUACAUACAGGCGUAGAAGGAAUAUGAAAUUGUGGAGCUAAGUAAGUUACUUCUUUUUUCACCACCAUCAGUCAGUCCACGUGACCAAACCAAAUUUUUGGUGUCUCAUUUUUUCACUUCAGAUAAAGACGAAUCAAAAAAUUACCAUAUUCAUAUUCAUUCUUGGGAGUCUCAUGCGCAAGUAUGUGUGUGCGUGUGUGCAGCCGCGCUGCAUCCAUUGAAAAAUUCUAUUCACACACGCACAUGCACGAAGUAGUUGCAGUCGUGUAAACGCACAUGAAGGGUGCGCAAUGCCGUUAAUUUACCUACAUCGCCCAUUCAUGCCGUUUGUAGAUUUAUAAAUCCCUAUGCGACUUUGCCGUGUAUCGUUGCAGCUCAUUCAUCGGAAUCAGACAAACAAAUAACAGAAAUUUGGCGAAGUAACACGCACUCAUCAAAUAAUUUAUAAGCAGGACUCGCGAAUCUCAUUGGAAUAGAUGGAAAACACAGACCGUGGAAUUAACUAUUUGUUUACCUUUCUUACAAUGGUAACUUCGCCCACAAGUUUUUAAACGUACCCCGAAAUGUACGAAAGAACAAAGUGCAUCUGGGCAUAUUGGAAUGUCACCCAGGAAAUCCAUGUAAGGGGUUGAUUUUUAGCAGUUGAACGAUGAGGCUAAAAUCAAUAUCUUGUGCAGGUAACCGGCCAUGGUUGUGUGUAAAAAAUUUGUAUGUGCCUGAAGCUGUUUUUGUAUGUGAUAUGAAAAAAGUAUAAAAUUUAAUGGCUUAACUCUAGUUUAGUAAAAACUCUUUAA
rnacentral:sRNA from 1 species